GCGCAGUGCUGCCCCUUUCUAUGGGCAGGGACGAAGGACUGCGGGCCUGACAGUUCUUGGGCUUGAGUCCAGCGGCAAGCUCCCUCCUGAGUGUCUGAAACCGUCAGUUCACUGCCUCAUGUGAAAGUACCCAGUUCUUGGUAACCUGACACUUCCCUUUUAAAAGCCACCUUUUCUCUAUCUCUGGCCUGCCACGAUUCUUCCUGUGCUCCAUAGGAGGACCCAUUGGAUCCCCGGGCUGGCUGCAGGGCCCACACCUGGGUUAGACCUCUCACAGGGACGCUGCUGCCACUGUAAUAAAGCGUGCCUACACGCUUCUGAAACUGGUGAAGGCACAACCUCAGUUCUGUGAAAGGCGGACACAGCAGGACAGAAUCUCCGUGGACAUCUGUCUGGAGGAGCAAUUUUACUGCGACAUUUUAAAGAAACAAAUUUAAUCGAUUUCCAAGGGUGUCCGUCGCGCUUCCUUCACUGCCUUGAUCAUGUUGGGGUCACCACCUGCGGGGGUUUGUCCUGCAAACCCUGACUGAACGUCGGAUGAAUAAUGUACACUGACACAGAUCUUAUGCUUGUCAGUCCUGCUGAGCAUCCAGGCCACUUACAGACUCCAAGAAGAGUCCUGUCAGCCAUGGCUCUGACUUGUUGGCCCUCCCGGCAUUUAUUUAGCACACAUUUAAUGACAGAAGUCUCAGGCUGGAAACACUCUUUUUGUAGAACAUACAAAUGGACAUUUCUAAGCACAUUGAGGCCUAUAAUGAAAAAUCGAAUAUCCCGUAAGGAAAACUAGAAGGAAGCUAUCUGUGAUAAUGCUUUGUGGUGUGUGGAUUCAUCUGGCCAACUGAAACCUGAGUUUUGAUUCACCAGGUUGGAAACCUUUUUGUAAAAUCUACAAUGGAACAUUUCUGAGCUCAUUGAGGCCUGUAGUGAAAAACUGAAUUUCCUGCAAUAAAAACUGAAAACACUUAUCUGUGAAAGUGAUUUGUGAUGUGCAGAUUCAUCUCAUGAAGAUAAACCUCUGCUUUGAUUGAAUAAACUGGAAGAACUUUUUUGUAGAAAUUUCUGAGCGCAUUUAGGUCUAUAGCAAAAUAAUCUAAUAUCCUGCAAACAAAACUAGAAACAAGCUACAUGUGAAGGUGCUUUCUGAUGUGUGAAUUCAUCUCACCGAAUGAAACUCGUGUUUCGAUUUAGCAGGUUGAAAACAAUCUUUUUGAAGAAUAUACGAAGGGACAUUACUGAGCUUAUUGAGGCUUAUAUUGAAAAACUGAAUAUCCCACAAAAUAAACUAGAAACAAGUGAUCUGUGAAAAUAGUUGGCCAUGUGUAAAUUUAUCUCGCACAGUUAAACCCUUUUCUCAACUCAACAAGUUAGAAGAACUCUUUUUGUAGAAUCUAUGAAAGAAGUUAUCUGUAAAAAUGUUUUGCAAUGUGUUCUCUCAUCCCACAGAGUUAAAUCUUUUUUUUUUUUUUUUUUGAUUCACCAUAUUGGAAAUACUCUUUUUGUAGAAUCUACAAAGAAACAUUUCUGAGCCCAUUGAAGCCUAUAGUAAAAGAACAAAUAUUCUGCAGUUGAAACUAGAAACAAUCUCUUUGAAAAUGCCUUGUGAUGUGUGGAUUCAUCUCAUUAAAAGGAGCCUGUGUUUUGAUUCACCAGAUUGGAAACACUUUUUUGUAGAAUAUACAAUGGGAUGUAUCUGAGCCCAUUGAGGCCUAUAGUAAAAAAUCGAAUAUCUUGCAAUAAAAACUAGAAACGAGCUAUCUUUGAAUGUGCUUUCUGAUGUGUGGAUUCAUCUCACAGAGUUAAACCUUAUGUUUGACUCACCACGUUGGAAAUACUUUUUUUGUAGAAUCUAUGAUAGGACAUUUCUGAGUCUAUUGAUGUGUAUAGUGCAAAACUGAAUAUCCCACAGUAAAAACUAGAAACAAGCUAUCUGGGAAAAUGCCUUAUGAUGUUUUCAUUCAUCUUACAGAGUUAAACCAUUGCUGUAAUUAAACAGGUUGGAAACACUCUCUUUGUAGAAACUAUGAAUUGACAUUUCUGAGCCCUUUGAGGCCUACAGUGAAAAACAGAAUAUCCAGUGAUUAAAACUAAAAACUUUCUGUCUGUGAAAAUACUUUGUGAUGUGUGGAAGCAUCUCAUAGAGUUAAACCUUUGUUUUGGUUCAACAGGUUGGAAACACUUUUUUAGUAGAAUCUAUGAGAAAACAUUUCUGAGCCCUCAUGUGAUGCAAACUAGAAGCAAGCUAUCUGUGAAAACGCUUUGCGGUGUAUGGAUUCAUGUCACAGAGUUAUACCUAUGUUUUGAUUCAACAGGUUGGAAACAAUCUUUUUGUAGAAUCUACAAAGGAACAUUUCUGAGCCAAUUGAGGUCUAGAGUGAAAAAUGGAAUAUCCCAUGAUAAAAACUAUAAAUAAGCUCUCUGUGAAAAUGCCUUGAGAUCUGUGGAUGCAUCUCACAGAGUUAUGCCUUUGCUUAUAUUCAACAGGUUGGAAACACUUUUCUUGUAGAAUCUAUGAAGGGAUAUUUCUGAACCUAUUGAGGCCUACAGUGAAAAAUUGAAUAUCCUGCAAUAUAAACCAGAAACAAGCUAUCUGUGAAGAUGCUUUUCCAUGUGUCCAUCCAUCUUACAGAGUUAAACGUUUGUAUGGAUUCAACAGGUUGGAAAUACUCUUUUUGUAGAAUCUACAAAGGGAUAUUUCUGAACUUUUUGAAGCCUAUUGGCAAAAUCUGAAUAUUGUGUGAUAAAAACUAGAAACAAGUUAUCAGUGAAAAUGCUUUGUGAUGUGAGGGUUCAUGUCACCAAAUAAAACCUGUGUUUUGAUUCACGAGGUUGGACACACUUUUUUUUCUAUAACCUACAUAGGGCCAUUUCUGAGCCUAUUGAGGUCUAUAGCAAAGCAACAACAACAAAUAUCCUGUCUUAUAAUCUAGAAAGAAGUUAUCUGUAAAAAUACUUUGUGAUGUGCGAAUUCAUCUCACAAAGUUAAACCUUUGUUUUGAUUCAACUGAUUGGAAACACUCUUUUUGUAAAAACUAUGAAGGGAAAUUUCUGAGCCCAUUUAGGCCUAUAGUGAGAAACAGAAUAUCCCACUGUAAUAAGUAGAAACAAGCUAUGUGUGAAAAUCAUUUAUGGUGACUGGAUUCAUCUCACCAAAUGGAACCUGUGCUUUGAUUCACCAGUUUGGAAACACUAUUUUUAUAGAAUCUAUGAAGGAAUAUUUCUGAUCCCAUUGAGGGAUAUGCUGAAAAUUCGAAUGUCCCAUGAUAAAAACUACAAACAAGCUAUCUGUGAAAAUGGUUUGUCAUGUGUGGAUUCAUCUCACAGAGUUAAACAUUUGUUUUGAUUCAUCUGUUUGAAAACACGCUUUUUUGUAGAAUCUAAGCAUCAACAUUUCUGAGUGCAUUGAAUGAAAAACAAAUUAUCCCGUGAUAAAAACUAGAAACAAGCUAUCUGUGAAAAUGCUUUGUGAUGUGUGGAUUCAUCUCAAAGAAUUAAACUUUUAUUUUGAUUCAACAGGCUGGAAACACUGUUUUUGUAGAACCUACAAAAAGACAUUGGGGAGCGCAUUGAGUCUUAUAGUGAUAAACCGAGGAUCCUGUGAUAAAACUAGAAACAAGCUAUCUGUGAAAAUGCUUUGUGAUUGGUGAAUUUAUUUCAUAGAGGUUGGAAACACUGUUUUUGUAGAAUGUAUGAAGAGAUAUUUCUGAGGCCUGUUGUGAAAAACUGAGGAUUCUACAAGAAAAACUGGAAACAAGUUAUCUGUGAAAAUGCUUUAUGAUGGGUGAAUUCAUCUCACAAAAUUAAACCUUUGUUUUGAUUCAAAAGGUUGCAAACACUCUUUUUGCAGAAUCUACGAAGGAACAUUUCUGAACCAAUUUUGACCUAUAGUGGAAAACUGAACAUCCUGUGAUAUAAACUAGAGAAAAGAUACCUGUGAAAAUGCUUGCAAUGUGUGGAUUCUUCUCACUGGAUGGGACCUAUGCUUUGAUUCAGUAGGUUGGAAAUGCUCAUUUUGUAGAAUCUACGAAGGAUAUUUCUGAGCCCCUUUGAGCCUGUAGUGAAAAAUCAAGGAUCCCACGAAGAAAAAUAGAAAAACAUUAUCUGUCAAAAUGCUUAUUGGUGUGUGGAUUAUUCUUACCAAAUGGAACCUGUGUUUUGAUUCACCAGGUUGGAAACACUUUUUUGUAGAGUCUAUGAAGGAACAUUUCUCAGCCCAUUGAGGCCUAUAGUGAUGAACAAAAUAUCCCAUGAUAGAAACUAGAAACAAACUGUUUCCAAAAAUGCUUUGCAAUGUGUGGAUUUAUCUUACAGAAUUAAACCUUUAUUUUGAUUUGACAGUCUACAAACUUUUUUUUUAGAAAGUACAGAGGGACAUUUCUGAGACCAUCAACAGCUAUAGUAAAAAAAAAAAAAAUCAAACAACCUGCCUUAAUAUUUAGAAACAAGUUAUCUGUUUAAAUGCUUUGGAAUAUUUUCAUUCAUUUCACACAUUUCAACCUUUUUUUUUAUUCAACGAGAUAAAAACACUCUUUUAGUUGAAUCUACAAAAAGAUAUUUCAAAGCCCAUUGAUGCCUAUAGUGAAAAACUGAAUAUCCCAUGAUAAAACCUAGAAGUGAGCCCUGUGUGAAAAUGCUUUGUGAUGUGUGGGUUCAUCUCACAGAGUUAAACUUAUAUUUUUAUUUGACACCUUGGAAACACUCUUUUUCUAGAAUCUAUGAAGGGACAUUCUGAGGCCAUUGAGGCCUAUAGCAAAAAGCAGAAUAUCCUUCCUUAAAAUCUAGAAACAAUCUAUAUGUGAAGAUGGUUUAUGAUAUGAACAUUUAUCUCACAGAUUUAAAACUAUGUUUUAAUUCAACACAUAAGAAAAAGUCUUUUUGUAGAAUCUAUGAAAGGACACUUCUGUGCCCAUGGAGACCUAUAGUGAGAAACUAAAUAUCCAGCAUUAAAAACUAGAAACAAGCUAUAUGUAAAAAUAUUUUGUGAUGUGUGGAUUCAUCUCUCCCAAUGGAACCUGUGUUUUGAUUCUCCAGGUUGGAAACACUUUUUGUGAAAUCUACGAAGUGACAUUUCUGAGCCCAUUGAGGCAUAUUGUAAAAUUUGAAUAUUCCACGAUAAGAAAUAGAAACAAGCUAUCUCUGAAAAUCCUUUUCGAUGUGUGGCUUCACCUCACAGAGUUAAAUCUUUGUUUCAAUUCAACACCUUGCAAACACUUUUUGGUAGAAUCUACGAAGGGACAUUUCUGACCCAUUGAGGCCUACGGUAAAAAAUGUAGGGACAUUUCUGAGCCCAUUGAAGCCUGUAGUUAAAAACCGAAUUUCUGGCGAUAAAAUCUAGAAACAAGCCAUCUGUGAAAAUGCUUUGUAAUGUGUGGACUUAUCUCACAAAGUUAAAACUAUGUUUUUAACCAACAGGUUGAAAUCACUCUUUUUGUAGAAUCUAUGAAAAGACGUUUCUGAGCCCACUGAGGCCUGUAGAGAAAAACUGAAUAUCCUGCAAUAAAAACUAGAAAAAAAGCUGUCUGAGUAAAUGGUUCCCGAUGUGUGGGUUAAUCUCACAGAGUUAAACAUUUGUUUUUAUUCAACAUGUUAGAAACGUUCUUUUUGUAGAAUCUACGAAGGAAUAUUUCUGAGCCCAUUGAGGCCUAUAGCAAGAAGCCGUAUAUCCCGCAAUAAAAACUGGAAACAAGCAAUCUGUGAAAAUCUUUUGUGAUGUAUGCAUUUAUCUCACCAAAUGGAACCUGUGUUUUGAUUCACCAGUUUGGAAACACUCUUUUGUGGAAUGUAUGAAGGGACAUUUCUUAGCCAGUUGAGGUGUAUAGUGAUAUACCAAAUAUCCCAGGAUAGAAACUAGAAACAAGUUAUCUGUGAAAAUGCUCUGUGAUGUGUGGAUGUAUCUCACAGAGAUGAACCUUUGUUUUGAUUCAACACGUUGAAAACACUUUUUUUGUAGAAUCUACAAAGGGACAUUUCUGAGACCAUUAAAAACUAUAGUAAAAAAAUGUAUAAUGCACUUUAAAAUAUAGAAACAAAGCUAUCUGUGAAAAUGCUUUGCAAUAUGUGGAUUCAUGUCACAGAUUUAAACCUUUGUUUUGAUUGAACAAAUUGGAAACACUGUUUUAGUAGAUUAUAUAAAGGGACAUUUCAAAGCCCAUUGAAGCCUAUAGUGAAAAAUCAAAUAUCCUGUGAGCAAAAAUAGAAACAACCUCUGUGGGAAAGUGCUGUGUGAUAUGUUCAUUCAUCUCACAGGGAUAACCUUUGUUUUUAUUCAACACCUUGGAAACAUUCUUUUUGUAGAAUCUAUGAAAAAAAAUUUCUGAGCCAAUCGAAGUCUAUAGUGAAAAAGCUAAUAUCCCAUUUUAAAAUCUAAAACAAACUGUGAAAAUGAGUUUUGAUGUGUGGAUUCAUCUGAGAGUUGGACCUUUGUUCUAAAUCAACAGGUUAAGAACACUUUUUUUGUAGAAUCUAUGAAAAAACAUUUCUGAGCCCAUUGAGGCCUAUUGUGAAGUGAAUCUCUCGCGAUAAAAAGUAGAAACCAGCUCUCUGUGAAAUCGUUUUGUGAUGUGUAAAUUUAUCUCACAGAGUUAAAACUUUGUUUUAAUUCAACAAGUUGAAAACGCUCUUUUUAUAGAAUCUGCAAAGAGACAUUUCUGAGCCCAUGGAGGCCAAUAGCAAAAAAAAUGAAUAUCCCACAAUAAAAACUAGAAACAAAAUAGCUGUGUAAAUGCUUUGCAAUGUGUGGAUUUGUCUCACCGAGUUAAACCUAUGUUUUGAUUCAACACGUUAAAAAACUUGUUUUUGUAGAAUCUUCGAAGGGACAAUUCUGAGCCUAUGGAGAUUAUAGCAAAAAACUGAAUAUCCUGCGAUAAAAACUAGAAACAAGAUAUCUGUGGAAAUGCUUUGAGAUGUGUAGAUUUAUUUCACAGAAUUAAACCUUUGUUUUGAUUUAACAGGUUGGAACCACUGUAUUUGAAGAAUCUGUGAAGAAAUAUCUUUGUCCCUAUUGUACACUAUAGUGGACAACUGAAUACUUCAUGACAAAAACUAGAAACAAGCUAGCUGUGAAAAUGGUUUGCAAUGGGUGAAUUCAUCUCACUGAGUUAAACCUUCGUUUUGAUUCAACAGGUGUGAAACACUCUUUUUGUAGAAUCUACAAAGAAACAUUUUUGAGCCCCUCGAGGACUAUAGUGAAAAAAUGAAUCUCCUGCAUUAAUAUCUAGAAACAAUCUAUUUGUGAAAAUGCUGUGUGAUGCAUGGAUCCAUCUCACAGAUUUCAAACUUUAUUUUGAUUCAACAGGCUGGAAACACUCUUCUUAUAGAAACUACGAAGGGUCAUUUCUGAACCCAUUGAGGCCAAUAGUGAAAAACUAAAUAUCCUGCAAUAAACCUAGAAAAAAUCUAUCUGUGAAAAUACUUUGUGUAAUGUGGAUGAGUGUCUCAGGGUUAAACGUUUGUUUUUAUUCACCAGGUUUGAAACACUGUUUUUGUUGAACAGACAAAGGGACAUUUCUUAGCCCAGUUAGGCCUAUAAAGGUAAACCGAAUAUCCUGCAAUAAAUAGUAGAAACAAGCUAUCUGCAAAAAUGCUUUGUGAAUUGUAGAUUCAUCUCACUGAAUUAAGCCUUUGUUUUAAUUCAACAGGUUAAAAGCACUCUUUUUGUAGACUCUACGAAGAAACAUUUCUGAAACCAUUGAAACCUAUAGGGGAAAAAAAAAACCCAAAACUCCUGUGAUAAAAAAUGGAAAGCAACUAUCUGUGAAAAUGCUUUGUAAUGUGUGGAUUCUUCUCACAGAGUUUAACCUUUGUUCUGAUUCAACAUGUUGAGACCACUCUUUUUGUAGAAUCUACGAAGAGAUACUUUUUAACCUAUCGAGGCCUCUAGUGAAAAACAGAAUGUCCUGCAAUAAAAACUGGAAACAACCUGUCUGUGAAAAUGCCUUGUGAUUCGUCUAUUCAUCUCAUAGAAUGAAACUUGUGCUUUGAUUCAACAGGUUUGAAACACUUUUUUGUAGAAUCUACGAGGGACAUUUCUGAGCAAAUUGAGGAGUGUAGUGAAAAACCGAAUAUCCCACCAUAAAAACUACAAACAUUCUGUCUGUGAACAUACUCCCAACCGACCCCGGGUAUUCCAAUAUGAGAGACUCCUGACUGACCCCAGGCAGUCUAAGGAUAGAGUCUCCUGGGCGACUUGAGGCAUUCUAAUGGGAGAGACUCCUGGCAGACUGCAGACAUUCUAAUGACAGAGACACCUGUGCAACUCCAGGCAUCCUAAUGAAAGAGACUCUAGGCCGACCUUAGGCAUUCUUGUGAUAGGGGCAACUGUGCGUCUUAAGACAUUUUUAUGAGAGAGACUCCAGGCCGACCCCAGGCAUUCUAAGGAGAGAGACUUCUUGCCGAAUUCAGACACUGUAACAACAGAGACACCGGGGCAACCCCCAACAUUCUAAUGAGAGGGACUCCUGGUCUACCUGGACAGUUCAAUGAUAAAGACACUUUUGCGACCCCAGGCAUUUUAAUAGGAGAGACUCCCAGCCAAAACCAGGCAUUCAAAGUGGAGAGACACCCAGCCAACCACAGGCAGUCUAAUGUUAGAGACGCCUGGAUGAUCCCAGGCAUUAUAAUGGGAGAAACUGCCAGCCAAACGCAGGCAGUCUAAUGAUAGAGAUACCCAGCCAACCCCAGGCAUUUUAAUAAGAAAGACUCCUGGUCCACCCUAGGCAUUCCAAUGAUAGAGACACUGGGAUGACCCAAGGUAAUCUACUGGGAGAGACUCCCUGCAAACCCCAGUGAUUCUAAUGGGAGAGACUGCUGGCCGACACCAGGCAGUCUGAUAGAAACCCCUGGGCAACCCCAGGCAUUCUAAUGAAAGUGAUUCCUGGCUGAACUUAGGCAGGCUAAUGACAGAGACAUCUGGGUGACCCAAGGCAUUCUAAUGGUACGGGCUCCCAGGAAGUUCCAGGCAUUCUAAUGGGAGAGACUCUUGGCCGACCACAGGCAGUUUAAGGAUAGAAACACCUGGGAGACCCCAGGCAUUUUAAUGGAAAGACUCCAUGCUGACUCAAGGCAGCCUAAUUACAGAAAAACCGGGUGACCCCAGGUAUUCUAAUGGAAGAGACUCCUGGUGGAUCCCAGGCAGUCUAAUGAUAGAGACACCUGGGCAACCACAGGCAUUCUAAUGGGAGAGACUCCCAGCAGAGCCCAGGCAAUCAAAUGAUACAGACACCUGGGCGACCCCUAAUAUUCUAAUAGAAGAGACUCCCAGUCAACCCCAGGCAUUCUGGUAAGAGACUUCUAGCCGACAAAAGGCAGUCUUAGGAUAGAGACACCUAGGCGACCUCAGGCAUUCUAAUGGGAGAGAUUCAUGGCUGACCCUUGUUAGUCUAACGAUAGAGUCACCUGGGUGACCCCAGUCAUUCUAAUGAGAUAGACUCCUGCCGAACCCAAGCAGUCUAAUUAUAAAGACAUUUCGGUGACCUGAGGCAUUCUAAGGAAAGAGACUCCUGGUGGAUCCCAGGCAGUCUAAUAAUAAAGACACCUGAGCAACCCCAGGUAUUCUAAUGGAAGAGACUCCCAGCUGACCCCAGGCAGUCCAAUGAUAGAACUCCUGGGCAAACCCAGGCAUUCUAAUGGGAGAGACUUCUGGCCAAACCUAGGCAGUAUAAUUUUAUACGCCAAGUCGACCCCAGGCAUUUUAAGGGGAGUGACUCCCAGCCGACUCCAGGCCACCUAAUGAUAGAGACACCUGGGUGACCCUAGGCAUUCUAAUGGGAGGGACUCACCGCCGACCCCAGCCAUUCUAAUGGGAGAGACUCGUGGCCUACCCCAGGCAGUCUAACGAUAGAGACACCUGAACAGCCCCAGGAAUUCUAGUGGGAGAGACACCCGACCAACUGCAGGAAAUCUAAUGAUAGAGACAACUGGGCAACAGCAGGCAUUUUAAUGGAAUAGACUCUCGGAUGACUUGAUGUUUUAAUGAUAGAGACACCUGGGCGUUCCCAGGCUUUCUAAUAGGAGAGAUUUCCAGCCAAACCCAGGCAUUCUUUUGAAAGAGAUGUCUGGCUGACCCCAGGCAGUCUGAUUAUAGACACACCUGGGCGACCUCAGGAGUUUUAAUUGGAGAGAUUACCGGCUGAUCACAGGCAGUCUAAUGACAAAGGCAUCUAUGUGACUUAAGACAUUCUAAUGGGAGAGACUCCAGACCGACAUCAGACAUUCUAAUAAUAGCGACACCUCUGUGACUCCAGGUAUUCUAACGGGAGAGACUCCGGGCCGACACCAGGCAUUCUAAUAAAAAAGACUCCUGGCUGACCAUAGGCUCUCUAAUGAUAGAGACAUCUGAGCGACCAUUGGCAUUCUAAUAAUAGAGAUUCCCGGCUGACCUCAGGGACCCUAAUGGGAGAGACUCCUAGCUGAUGCAGGCAGUCUUAUGAUAGAGACACUUCAAUGACCCGAGACAUUCUAAGAGAGGGUCCUGGUUGAACCCAGGCAUUCAAAUGAUAGACACCUUAUCGAGGACAGGCUUUUUAAUGGGAGAGACUCCCGCCAAACCGCAGGCAGUCUAAUAAAGAAAUAGGGAUGAAUACAGGUAUUCUAAUGAGAGACACUCCUGGCUGACCUCAGGCAGUCUAACGAUAGAGACACCUGGGAGAGUCCAGGCAUUCUAAUGGGAGAGACUGCUGGCUGAACACAGGCAGUCAAAUUGUAGAGGAAUCUAAGCCACCAAAGGCAUUUUAAUAGGAGAGCCUCCCAGCUGACCCCAGGCAGUCUAAUGAUAGAGACACCUGGGUGACCCCAGGCAUACUAAUGGGAGAAACUCCCGGAUGACUCAAGGCAUUCUAAUAAGAGACAAUCUUGGCGGACCGCAGGCAGUCUAAUGUUGACAGCUGGGCAACCACAGGCAUUCUAAUGGGAGAGACUACAGGAGAAGCCCAGGCAUGCAAAUAAUAGAUACACCUAUGCGACCCCAAGCAUUCUAAUGAGAGAGAAUUCCAGCUGACACCAGAUAUUCUAAUGGGAGAAACUCCUGCCUGACCCCAGGCAGUCUAAUAAUACAGACACCUGGAUGACAUCAGGCAUUCUAAUUGGAGAGGCUUCUGUACAAACCCAGGCAAUCCAUGCAUAGAGACAACUGGGUGACCCCAGGCAUUCUAAUGGGGGAGAUUCUCAACUGACCACAGGCAGUCUAAUGGUAGAGAAACUUGGGUGACCCAAGGCAUCCUAAUGGGGGAGACUUCCAAAGGACCCCAGCCAAUCUAACGUUAGAGACACCUGGGUGAACCCAGGCAUUCUUAUGGGAGAUACCCUCCACCGACCCCAGGAAUUCUAAUAAUAGUGACACCUGGGAUACAACGGGCAUUCUAAUGGAAGAGACUGCUGGCUGACAUCAGGCAGUCUCAUAAUAGAGACACCUGUGAGACUCCAGGCAUUUUAAUGGGGGAAACUCCCAGAUGACCCCAAGCAAUCUAAUGUUAGAGAGAGCUGUGCAACCCCAAGCAGCAAUCUAAUGUUAGAGAGAGCUGUGCAACCCCAAGCAGUCUAAUGUUAGAGACACCUGGGUGACCCAGGUAUUAUGGGAGAGACCUCCAGCCGACCCCAGGAAUUUAAUGAGAGAGACACGUGGGUGACCCCAGUCAUUCCAAUGGGAGAGACUCCCAGAUGACAGAAAGCAUUCUAAUGGGAGAUACUCGUGGUCAACCCCAGGCAGUCUAAUGACAGAGACACUGAUCGAGCCCACUCAUUGUAAUGGGAGAGACUAAUAGUCGAACACAGGCAGUCUAAUAGUAGAGACACCUAGGUGAUCCUAGACAUUCUAAUGGAAAAGACUAUUAUCUGACCCCAGGCGUUCUAAUAUUACAGAAACCUGGGUGACCUAAGGCAUUCUAAUGGAAGAGACUUCCAUCUGAACCCUGGAAUUCUAAUGGGAAAGACUCCAAGCCAGCCCAGGCAAUCUAAUGAUAGAGACAUCUGUGCAACCACAGGCAAUCUAAUGAAAGAGACUCCCGGCCAAUCGCAGGCAGUAUAAUGACAGAGACACCUGAACGACUGCAGGUAUUUUAAUGGGAGACACUUCUGGCUGACCCCAGGCAGUCUAAUAAUAGAGACACUUGAUGGACCCCAAGCAUUCUAAUAGAAGAGACUUCGAGCUGACCCCAGGCAGUCUAAUUAUAAAGACACCUGGGUGACCUUAGUAAUUUUAAUGGGUAAGACUCCUGGCAAAUCACAGGCAAUUCUAAUGGAAGAGACUCCUGACUGACACCAGGCAGUCUAAUAAUAGAGAAACCUGGGCAAUCCCAGGCAUUUUUAUGGGAGAGACUGCUGGCUGAACCCGGCAGUCUAAUGAUAGAGACACAUGGGCAAACCCAAACAUUCUAAUGGGAGAGAUUCCCAGCCAAUUCCAUGCAUUCUAAUGAAAGAAUCUCCUGGCCAACCCCAGGCAGUCUUAAAAUAGACACCUGGGUGACACCAGGCAGUUGAAUGGGAGAGACUCCUGGCUGACACCAAGCAGUCUAAUGACAGAGACACCUGGGCUACCCCAGGCAUUCUAAAAAAAAAAGAAUCCCGGCUGACAUGAAGCAGUCUAAUGAUAGACAACUGGGCACCACAGGCAUUCUAGUGGGAGAGACUCCCGGCCGAUUCCAGACAUUCUAAUUUGAGAGAAUUUGGGAGAUGCCCGGCAUUCUCAUUGGCGAUAUCAAUGACCGACCUGCACCAGACUAACGAUGAAAACGCCUCUGCGAACCCAGGCAUUCUAAUGGGAGGGGCUCUGGGCGACCUCAUGCAGUCUAAUGAAAAAGACGCCUGGGUGACCUUAGACAUUCUAAUGGGAGAGACUCUGGUCCUACCCUAGACUGCCUAAGGUUAGAGACACCUGGUCAACCCCAGGCAUUCCAAUGAAAGAGACUCCUGGCCCAAUUCAGGCAGUCUAAUGAUAGAGACACCAAUGUCACCCUAAGCAUUCUAAUGUGAGAGACUCCUGGCUGAGACCAGGCAGUCUAAUUAUAGACACCUGGGCAACCCCAGGAAUUCUAACAAGAGAGAAUUCAGGCUGACCCCAGGCAGUCUAAUGAUAGAGAAACCUGGGCAACUCCAGGCAUAAUAAUGGGAGAGACUGCUGGCUGACCCAAAGCAGUCUAAUGAUAAAGACCCCUGGGCACGCUAUCUGUGAAAAUGCUUUAGGAUGUGUGGAUUAGUCCCACCAAAUGGAACCUGUGUAUUGAUUCACCAGGUUGAAAACACUCUUGCUGUAGAAUCUAUGAAGGGAUAUUUCUAAGACAAUUUAGGCCUAUAGUGACAGACUGUAUAUUUUGCAAUGAAAAAUAGAAACAAGCUAUCUGUGAAAAUGCUUCAUGAAAUGUGGAUUUAUUUCAAUGAUGUAAAACUUUGUUUUGAUUCAACAGGCUGGAAAGCCUCGUUUUGUAGUAUCUACAAAAAGACAUUUCUGAGCUCAUUGAGACUGAUAGUGAAAAAUCUAAUAUCCUGUGGAUAAAAAGUAUAAAAAUGCUGUGUGAAAAUGCUUUGCCAUGUGUGAAUUCAUCUCAAACAGUUAAAACUUUGUUUUGAUUCAACAGGUUGGAAACACUUUUACUGUAUUAUCUAUGAAGAAACGUUUAUGAGGCCAUUAAGUCCUAUACUGAAAAACUGAAUGUACUGCAUUAAACACUCUAAAGAAGCUAACUGUGAAAAUGCUUUGCAAUGUGUGUAUUUAUCUCACAGAGUUAAACUGUUGUUUUGGUUAAUCAGUUUGGAAACAGUUUUUUUUGUAGAAUCUAUGAAGGGACAUUUCAGAGGCCAUUGAGGCCUAUAAUAAAGAAACAAAUAUCCCAUAAUAAAACAAGAAACAUAUAGAAACAAGCUAUAUGUGAAAAUGCUUUGUGAUAUCUGGAUUCUUCUCACUGAAUCGAACCUGGGUUUUGAGUCACCAGGUUGGAAACACUUUUUUCAUAAAAUCUAAGAAGGGACAUUUCUGAGCCUAUUGAGGCAUAUAGUGAAAAACCGAGGAUCCUGUGAUAAAAACUAGAAAAACACAAUAUGUGAAGUUGCUUUGUGAUGUGUGGAUUCUUCUCACCGAAUGGAAUCUCUGUUUUGAUUCAACAGGUUGGAAACAUGUUUUUGUAGAAUGUAC